AUCUACAUCUUGCUCCGAGUCCCCGGGCCUACGGCAGUUAUGCUAUGGCCGGCGGACCGAUAGGGUGCACCGGGAAACGGGUGCGCCUCCCAGUGCGGAAAGGAGAACAAGGUAACAGGGU
rnacentral:ncRNA from 2 species